rnacentral:rRNA from 1 species
CUCGUAGGUGGCCAACUAAGUCAGACGUGAAAUCCCUCGGCUUAACCGGGGAACUGCGUCUGAUACUGGAUGGCUUGAGUUUGGGAGAGGGAUGCGGAAUUCCAGGUGUAGCGGUGAAAUGCGUAGAUAUCUGGAGGAACACCGGUGGCGAAGGCGGCAUCCUGGACCAACACUGACACUGAGGAGCGAAAGCCAGGGGAGCGAACG